UCCCCCAGGCAGAUUCUCAAGCUCCCCAGAGUUGCCUUCUCCUAGGCCACUCCCCUUGCUGCAAUAGCUGGUUUUGGGCAGAAAGGAGGGUGCCGCACAUCCCGCCCAACUCCUCUUUCCAGAACAAAACUGCAACCCAAACCUCAGCUCCAACAUCUUCCAUCUGAAGCAAGAUGGCUAGAAUGGACAGAAUGCUUCACUGUAAAAGGAAACAGUGUUCCAGGUCAAACUAAGUCUGCAAACAAACCCUCACAAUGGUUCUGAAAGGCAUCCGGACAAGUCUUAUCAUGUGGCUUUCCCACACCUUGAUUCCAUGUUUGCUCACAGAUGGAGUGGCAGCUCUACCUGCCCCUCAGAACCUCUCUGUACACUCAACCAACAUGAAGCACCUAUUGAUGUGGAGCCCUGUGGUCCUGCCCGAAGAAACAGUAUACUAUUCCGUCGAGUACCAGGGUGAGUAUGAGAGCUUGUACACAAGUGACAUCUGGAUUCCCAGCAAAUGGUGCUCACGCACUGAAGGUCCUGAGUGUGACGUCACUGAUGACAUCACGGCCACAGUGCCCUACAGCCUCCGUGUUAGGGCAAUCUUGGGCUCACAGACUUCAGCCUGGAGCAUCCUGGAACAGCCCUUCAAUCGAAACUCAACCAUCCUUACCCCGCCUGGCAUGGAGAUCUCCAAGGAUGGCUUCCAUCUGGUUAUUGAGCUGGAAGACCUGGGACCCCAGUUCCAGUUCCUUGUGGCCUACUGGAGGAGGGAGCCGGACACCAAGGAACAUGCCAAAGUGGUGAGGAAGGGGGGCAUUCCUGUGCACCUGGAAACCAUGGAGCCAGGGGCGCCGUACUGCGUAAAGGCCCAGGCGCUGGUGAAGGCCAUUGGGAGGCACAGUGCCUUCAGCCAGACAAAGUGCGUGGAGGUACAAGGAGAGGCUCUCCCCCUGGUGCUGGCCCUGUUUGCCUUCUUUGGCUUCAUGCUGAUCCUCGUGGUUGUGCCAUUGUCCGUCUGGAAGAUGGGCCAGCUGCUUCAAUACUCCUGUUGCCCCAUGGUGGUCCUCCCAGACACCUUGAAAAUAACCAACUCACCGCAGAAGUUAAUCAGCUGCAGAAGGGAAGAGGUGGACGUCUGUGCCACGGCCAUGCUGUCUUCUGGACUUGGAUCUAGUGGCCUUGGGAAAGGGCCCACUUGUCAGGAGCUGACAGCCUGGUCUGCAGGACACAGAACUCAUGAGAUUGUCAUUGUGGCCCAUUGGCACUGGGGGAACUGUAGGAGGGGAGUGGCCCAGGCUGCUUCUGCUGCUUCAGUGAAGAUGUUCCCUGUGGCCUGUGCUGUUGUCGACUCAGAAGCUUCCCUGGAAACAAGCCUGGCUUUCUUAUCCUGACUUCAGAGAACAACACCAGGGUCCAGUGAGCAAAUCCUUGCUCCAUGAGGCUGAUGAUCCAAUGGGGGUGAUUUUCUGUGGGUGCAGAUCUCUCGGAUUCCUUGGAAUCUCUCAUUGCCCAGAUCCGGUCCACAGCUUCAGGAGCCAACCAGGACUGGAGCCCCUCAUUGUGUUCACGGGUGUCUGGCGCCACCUUUUGGUGGGUUCUGGAAAAUUCCUUCUGCUCCCGCUUGCAGCGCCCUAGGCUUCCUGGGCGAGGGAACGGAAAGCUCAACCCAGUUUCCCAGAACAAGAACUCAGCUGGAAAAAGUCCUGGGGCUCGGCCCGGAAGAAGCCGCCACUGUCCCUAGUGGACUUGGACGUCGGCGUCUGUGUGCUCGCUAGAAGUCUCGCGUAUCCGCGGCUGUGUCAUCUUCCCUGUGCGCCCCACUGGGCUGUGGCCUCUGCCUCGCUUCCCGCCUUCUCCUUUUUUGGGUGUUGCUGUUAAAAAGACUUAUUUUGAUGCGCCUAUUUUUCCUUGUCCAAUUUCCAGCCUACCCCUGGGCCAGACUGACUUUCUGAGGGUCCCUUCAGGCCGCUGUUCAGUAGGGGGAGCCCCCUGCCACCCCACUCCCGCUAAACACGGGUGACCAGCCUGUGCAGCCGGGGCCUGGACCGUCGGAGUGGACCCCAGACCAUCCUCUGUGGCUGGCUCCUGGGAUGCAGAGGUCCUGAAGCUCCUGACAAAGCAACCCCGAAAAGCCGUCCCUGCGGGAGGAGGAGCAGCAGCUCACAGAGGGAGGCGCAGCUCUUUGGUCCUGGCCUCGCUCAGCCCAAGGGUACAGGCGGGGAGAGGCUGCCAACCCCAGUGAGGACUGGGGGAAACCCGAGCCCAAGCCCCUCAGCCGCCUGGAGGUCGGAAGUACGAGCCUAGUACUGUGGUGGAGACGCCUGUUUCUGGUCCCACUACUGGACCUCAUUGAUGGAAAUUUAAAAAGCUACCUAGCGGCGCUGGGGAUUUAGCUCAGCGGCAAAGCGCCUGCCUGGCAAGCGCAAGGU